UGGGGAAUCUUGGACAAUGGGCGAAAGCCUGAUCCAGCCAUGCCGCGUGAGUGACGAAGGUCUUCGGAUUGUAAAGCUCUUUUGGCGGGGACGAUAAUGACGGUACCCGCAGAAUAAGCCCCGGCUAACUUCGUGCCAGCAGCCGCGGUAAUACGAAGGGGGCUAGCGUUGUUCGGAAUUACUGGGCGUAAAGCGCACGUAGGCGGAUUUGUAAGUCAGGGGUGAAAUCCCGGGGCUCAACCUCGGAACUGCCCUUGAUACUGCAAAUCUCGAGUCCGAUAGAGGUGAGUGGAAUUCCUAGUGUAGAGGUGAAAUUCGUAGAUAUUAGGAAGAACACCAGUGGCGAAGGCGGCUCACUGGAUCGGUACUGACGCUGAGGUGCGAAAGCGUGGGGAGCAAACAGGAUUAGAUACCCAAGUAGUCCCUGAGCGGGCUGGCAAGGCGCAU
rnacentral:rRNA from 1 species